rnacentral:misc_RNA from 1 species
GGAAAGUUCAAUGCUGGAAUAAACACAUUAAACCAUUCAAUAACUGAUACAUGUACAAACUAGCUGGAAAAGUUUCUCAACAAAACCCAGUGGCAAAAUAGAUGCAGCAGAUUCUUUUCCCCCAAGGUAAGAAAAUAGAUACAGCAGAUUGCUCCUAAAGCUGUUUGUACUUUGGAGAAACAUCAGAGACUUGAAUAUUGCCAAAUGAGCCCUAAAUUUCAAAUUUCUUUUAUAAGAAAGGAACAGUUAUAUACAGAGUAACUGUCAGUCACCGAGAUGAUAUGAUACAAGCGCUUUUACAUAUUAUUUAUCUGAUUUAUCCAGUAAGCCUCUAUAGCUUGACAGGAAACGACAUGGGAUGGUUUCUUCACAAACAGCUUCACCCCCCAUUUCAUGUGAUGUCAUUUCAAUUUCCACCUUUGCAUUCACUUUUCCUGAUUGCUUGUUCAUUGAUGUUCUCAUCUUGGUUUUAUCUGAUAAACUC